rnacentral:rRNA from 1 species
AGAAUCAACGCUGGCGGCGUGCCUAACACAUGCAAGUCGAACGCGGUUACCCCGCAAGGGGUGACUGAGUGGCAAACGGGUGAGUAACGCGUGGGUGACCUACCUUCGAGUGGGGGAUAACGUUUCGAAAGGAACGCUAAUACCGCAUGACAUCCUGCCUUUGGACAGGCGGAGAUCAAAGCCGGGGAUCGUAAGACCUGGCGCUUGGAGAGGGGCCCGCGUCCGAUUAGCUAGUUGGUGAGGUAACGGCUCACCAAGGCGACGAUCGGUAGCC